GGAUCAAGGGAGGUAAGAAAAAUAUUAUGAAUUUCAUGGUGAGAAAAGCCCUUGGCGGCUGAGGAUGAUUGCCCUAGUCUUUAGAGAAUAGAGGUCUAUGGAGUGUAAUGAAGAAAGCUUUACAAAUAUAGAAUUUACCGGGGGCAUUUGAUCAAUAUCAGGAUCAUUCUCAUGAUCAAUGAGCCAAUGAAUUGCAGCUUCAGAGCUGACGUUGCCUGAAGAACAAAGAAAGUAGUUUCUGAGAAUGAAAAACAGUAGAUAAUUCAACUAUUCUAACUCUAAAUUGUAGUGAAAGAUGGAAUAGGCGAUGUUGAAGAUGAGGGGAUCUCAGUCCUCUUUCAUCAAUCUUUAGAUGUACAUUUGUAAUGCAAAAUUAAAUGAAGAGUUGUAUUUCAUUCUCCAA